GGGUGUUUAGCUCAGCUGGUUCAGAGCAUCUGCCUUACAAGCAGAGGGUCGGCGGUUCGAAUCCGUCAACGCCCA
rnacentral:tRNA from 2 species